rnacentral:rRNA from 1 species
AUACGGAGGGUCCAAGCGUUAUCCGGAUUCAUUCGGUUUAAAGGGUCCGCAGGCGGGAAAAUAAGUCAGUGGUGAAAGCCUACAGCUCAACUGUAGAACUGCCAUUGAUACUGUUUUUCUUGAGUAUAGAUGAAGUGGGCGGAAUAUAUCAUGUAGCGGUGAAAUGCAUAGAUAUGAUAUAGAACACCGAUUGCGAAGGCAGCUCACUAAACUAUUACUGACGCUCAGGGACGAAAGCGUGGGGAGCGAACAGGAUUAGAAACCCUUGUAGUCC